GAACGAUGGUGCUGAGCAAUCGAGUCGAAUCUCUACUUCUUAGAGGAAAACGACCAUGACAAAUAAAAGGCCCAGCCCUCUGUCUUUAUUGAAUGUCAGCACCUAGACGUUUGUUCUCCAGGGCUGCGGUUUCCUGCGGCACAAAGAGGAGGAGGAGGGCCGAGGGUGGUAGGAAGGCUGCCGCUCCGGGAGGACGGUCUGUUACUCCGAGAGCCGGAACGUGUGUAUGAAACCAGCACUUCCUCCUCCAGAGGCAGGAAGAAUGUUCACGUCUUUCAUUCAGAGCUUCCCGCUCAUCUUUGCUUUGCAGACUUUGACAGGAAGCCUGCCCCGCCCCCACCCGAGUCGCUGCCUGGGCCGCGCAGGUUCAAAGGCUCUGGGCCUGGGCCUCUGGGGAGGAGAGACUGUUUCUGGGCGCGAGGGGGAGGCACCGAGGCACCAACCGCAGCCACGCAGACUUCCAAGAAUCCUCCACUUUUGGCCCUUAGGCCACGAAGAAAACCUUUUCUGUGCAGACACAAAACCCAGAAAUCAAAGAAGAAAAGAUGGAUAAAACUGACCAUACAGAGAUAAAAAACAAAACAAACAAACCUAAAUACAAAUAACAAAUUGGGGAAAAAUAUUUGCAAACUAGUUUUCUAACUUAUAAAGCUCUUCUACAAAUCAGUAAGAAAAAUGCCACAAUCCACGAGACUGAUGGGCCGGGGACACAGAUACUGCACACAAUUAACAGAAGGAGAAAGACAAAUGGGUUUGAAAAGGCUUUAAAAUAUUUAACACAGCUCACAAGAAAUGCAGAUUCAUACAGUUAUUCUUCCCUAUCGGGUUGGAAAAGACAGGAGCGGCCAAGGCACUCUGCCCGAGAGAGGUCAAGGGGUCAGAUAUUAACAUGGAGAUUUGCACAUCCUGGCGCCAGCUGUGUCCCACGGGGCCCCAUACGGUCCAGCACCUUCACUUGUGGAUGAACCCCCACAAGAAGGGAGGCAGGAACCUGGGGAGCUGUCUGUCCGCCAGUGUCCACGGCAGCAUUGUUCACAACGGCCAGAAGGCAGAGCGGCCCAAACGUCCAUCGACAGGUGCUGGGACAAACGGAGUGUGGUCCGUCCACACAGAGGGCUGCUCCUGCGGAAGUUCUGACAGGCUGCAACAUGGGGGAACUUGGAGAUGAGGAAACUGAAGCCCAGAAAGGUUCUGCAGACGACAGCUCACAGGGCUGGGACCUGAGCAGAGGAACCUACGGACUGCGCACUGUGCCUCUCGAGGCUGGGAUGUUCCGACAAUGGAGACAUCAAAAUAGAGGCAAAGUAUGUGCCAAUCGUGAAACAUUCUGCCACACGGAAGAAUCACUGUGUACUCUGUUUCCAUCUGAGCACGACGCGGGGUUUGGACAUGCGUUUGCUGGAGCGCAUCCUUAGAGUCUCUGCUGUGGCAGAGACGGGUCAGUCUCCUAACAGGGAUGAGUUUGGAGAAGGGACCAGGAGAACAGGGGGAGGAACACUUACUUUUUGCUUACAAAUUAUUUAUAUUUGUUUCCGUGUUUGAUGUAUUCACAACCAGAAGCUCAAAUUAUCAAUACAUAAGGGAAGGUUCAUCUGUCUGUCCCGAGAGAGGCUCACUCUUAAACAGGCCGUGAGGGUCAGGCGGCCCCUGGGCCAGCUGUCGCUUUAACAGGAGACGUCUUUGCUGGCGCUCCUUGCAUUUGUCAGCAUGGUGGCAUUUUUAUAGCCUGUUCACAGGACCUAGGUUGUGGCAUCGGACAUAGAGUUUUCUAGAAAAGGACGACUUGCUCAUUAUGGUUGGAUCCAGGCACCCUGACACAGAGGGAAGAUGGCCUGAGUGCCCCCAGAUGGAGCAGUUUGUGGGCCGUGACCCACUUCCCAAAUGUCAGUCUGUCAUCUGCCCAGCCUCUGGGAUCACUAAUAACCACCUUCCUGCUCUGUGGGACGGCCUGCUCCACCCCCACGUGCCCUGAAGCCACAGUUCCUGCAGUUCCCUCUUCCCUGAUAAUUUAAUGUAUUAAAGCAGAUAAAAUCAUAAAGCAACAAUUUCCUUCCCUUAAAUUAUGUCCUUUCUUUACAAACCAACAUAAAUGCACGCUUGUACUGUACCAUCGGCAAACAGUGUAAUUGGCUUUUAUCUACCUAUCAAGUCAUUUCUGUCUCCAUAAUUCUCAUUUUUCUUGAGCCUCUCUGCUUAGACAUAACUGAAGCGAAGCCUGGGAGACUUAAAUCAGGCAGUCAGAAGGUGAAACCGAGGCACCGGGGCAAGCUUGCCAGGGCCCUAGGCGGGGGCGCUGCCUCUACGCCUCCCUCUCAGAUCUUGCCAAGCGUGUCCUCGCCAGUCUUAGGACACACACUUCUGCUUUCAAGGCCUGUUCUGCCAGACCUCGUGGGACAAGGGAGAACUAUCAGAGCAGAAAAGAACUUUCUGGAACUCAGGACUCUGGGCAGUGCAGCGAGGGCCCAACCGUGAGCAGCUUCAGCACCUCCUGCCCCCCGACAGGCACGAACCCUCCCGGGCUGGGCUUCACAAUGGGAGCAGUCCCCAAAGAGAGCUGCAGGCACAAGAGGGCCGAAGAGAGCAGACGCCACACCACGCGCCCUGUCACCUCUGCUUCCCACCAAAGCAGCAGAGGCGCUUCUGGGAGUGGGGGCGGUGGCCACAUCCCGUGAGCCCCUGGGCUCUGCUCCCCAGGCGGCGGGCGUCCUGCUGAGGGCUGUGCCUCCAAGGUCAGGGGAGGCCAGGGCCCAGCAGCCGGCACAGGCGGGGCCCGGUGGGGCGAGGGAGGGCCCUGGACAGGUCUUUGGAGCAGUCGUCCUGUCUCCCCACCCAGGCCUUUGGGCUGAGCAGCUGAAGCGCUGAGCUUGUUUUGUCUCCAGCAGCACUUGGCAGGGGCCAGAUUCGUUUUAUGGGAGCUGUCUGGAGGAGAUGGAAGCGUGUGCUCAGAGAGGCCUUUUCUGCAUUUCUGCAUUCUGCUUUGUCUUCCCAAACACACACACAAAACCAUGGGUUUCUGGUGCUACACCAGCCCCCUUUCCCAGGCCCAGCCCCCACAGUGGGCUCCUUUGGCUGCUCCUCCCAUGAGGGCUGGGUUUGCCUUUGCUCCCAUGCACUGAUGCCAGGGUGCCCGGAUGUCUGGCCACGGUCCAGGCAGGUGAUCCACAGCCCGGGCUGGCCCUGGGCACGUGGUAGUUUUACGGUGGCUUCCUUCCGCCCCCGGCUUGGCUGAUGGCCUCCUCCCCUUUUUUCACCCCCUUUCUCUAGUCAUCGAACUGGAACAGAAAUGCCUUAUUAGCAGAUCCAUCUCCUGGAUGGCACCAGAGGGUGGGAAAAGAUCAAUAAAACCUCCCUGAAUGGCCCUCCCCCCUUGUAAACCUCAGGGCCCAGCCAGGGAGGGCCAGGUCAUUGUCCUCCAGGACAGUGGCCUGGGGGUUGAGCUCAUGCCCUCUUCCUUGAGCCUGGUCACUGGGCACUGCAUGGCAGGUCCAGGCACCCCUUUCCACCCCCAGCUCCCCACCCGACCUCGGACCGAGGCUCCAGAAGUCUAGGCUUGGGUUUGCCACCGUCUCGGGACCCCUGUAUGGAGUCUGGGCCAUGGCCGGGCCCGGCCCACAGGGCCCCCACCCUCUCUGUGCACCCCGAGGUGGUUCACGGCGCAGGUGCCCUGGGGAAGGGGCGCUCCAAAGGAUCGCUGAAGCCCCAAGUCACUGCACUUCCCCCUGCCAGGGGCCGCACCCCUCCCUGCCUUCUCCAGUGUGGGCUGUGGCAGGCCCUCUGCCCAGGGAGUCCGGCAGCCGAGGCCAUGGGCCUGGGGCACCCAAGUUCUGUCUGCAGGACAGGUGCUGGGAGGGACCGGCUCCCUUCGCAGGGCAGGUCUGCGCCCCCGGGGCGGCUCCACUGGAAGACGAGGUGGUGGUAGGCCUGAACAGAAGGCUCUAGAACAACUGGCCCUUGACCACAGACACACAGCUUUUGCUUUUAGACACCCAGUGGGCUGCAGCUGCUGUUGGUGAGGCUGAGCACGGCGGAGGCCACUGCUGUGUGGGCAGAUGCAUGGGGGCCCCGGCCUCCUCAGGCCUUGGGGCUUUGCUGCGUGUACAUGCUGGACCAAGCAGCUCAGGGGAGAAAGCCGGAAUGCACCAGAAACGGCUGCUUGGAACUCAUGAGAGCUCUGCUCUGCGUGCUAAAGGACAGGUUACUGUUUCUGGUUCCUAUACUUGGGGCACAGGGUGCUGCCUGUGAAUGUGACAUCUCUGUACCUCGUUUCAGAUGGAGACUAUCAUUUCAGUGUUCUGGUUUGAAAUUCCAAUAAAAAUAAAUGCUUUAGGGGCUGGCCUGGUGGCAUAGUGGUUAAGUUCACAUGCUCUGCUUUAGCAGCCCAGAGUUCACGGGUUUGGAUCCUGGGUGCGGACCUACACUGCUCAUCAGCCAUGCUGUGGUGGCAUCCCACAUACAAAAUAGAGGACGAUGGGCACAGAUGUUAGCUCAGGGCCAAUCUUCCUCAACAAAAAAAGCAUAUAUACAUAAAAAAAAGAUGUCUUAAAACUGUAUAAUCCUAAACUAGAGGCCAAGCAGAAGUGAGAGUCUUUUUUGCUCUUCCCUGUCCCCCCACCCAACUCCACUUCCUGCUGUGACUGGCAGAGCUCCAGGUCCUGUGGGGGGAGCUGAAUGGGCAGCAAGGACUCCUGGGGUGCCCUCACACCCCCUCUUCAUGAAGCUCAGCCCCUCAGCCUACCCUGGGUGGAAGGGAGCAGGUGCUGCCACAGGUGGCCAGGUGGUGACGGCCGGGCCCAGCAG
ensembl:lncRNA